rnacentral:rRNA from 1 species
UUUAAAUUGAGAGUUUGAUCCUGGCUCAGGACGAACGCUGGCGGCGUGCCUAACACAUGCAAGGCGAGCGAUGAAGCUUCCUUCGGGAAGUGGAUUAGCGGCGGACGGGUGAGUAACACGUGGGUAACCUGCCUCAAAGAGGGGGAUAGCCUCCCGAAAGGGAGAUUAAUACCGCAUAACAUUAUUUUAUGGCAUCAUAAAAUAAUCAAAGGAGCAAUCCGCUUUGAGAUGGACCCGCGGCGCAUUAG